rnacentral:rRNA from 1 species
AGAGUUUGAUCAUGGCUCAGAUUGAACGCUGGCGGCAGGCCUAACACAUGCAAGUCGAACGGUAACAGAAAGCAGCUUGCUGCUUUGCUGACGAGUGGCGGACGGGUGAGUAAUGUCUGGGAAACUGCCUGAUGGAGGGGGAUAACUACUGGAAACGGUAGCUAAUACCGCAUAACGUCGCAAGACCAAAGAGGGGGACCUUCGGGCCUCUUGCCAUCGGAUGUGCCCAGAUGGGAUUAGCUAGUAGGUGGGGUAAAGGCUCACCUAGGCGACGAUCCCUAGCUGGUCUGAGAGGAUGACCAGCCACACUGGAACUGAGACACGGUCCAGACUCCUACGGGAGGCAGCAGUGGGGAAUAUUGCACAAUGGGCGCAAGCCUGAUGCAGCCAUGCCGCGUGUAUGAAGAAGGCCUUCGGGUUGUAAAGUACUUUCAGCGGGGAGGAAGGGAGUAAAGUUAAUACCUUUGCUCAUUGACGUUACCCGCAGAAGAAGCACCGGCUAACUCCGUGCCAGCAGCCGCGGUAAUACGGAGGGUGCAAGCGUUAAUCGGAAUUACUGGGCGUAAAGCGCACGCAGGCGGUUUGUUAAGUCAGAUGUGAAAUCCCCGGGCUCAACCUGGGAACUGCAUCUGAUACUGGCAAGCUUGAGUCUCGUAGAGGGGGGUAGAAUUCCAGGUGUAGCGGUGAAAUGCGUAGAGAUCUGGAGGAAUACCGGUGGCGAAGGCGGCCCCCUGGACGAAGACUGACGCUCAGGUGCGAAAGCGUGGGGAGCAAACAGGAUUAGAUACCUUGGUAGUCCACGCCGUAAACGAUGUCGACUUGGAGGUUGUGCCCUUGAGGCGUGGCUUCCGGAGCUAACGCGUUAAGUCGACCGCCUGGGGAGUACGGCCGCAAGGUUAAAACUCAAAUGAAUUGACGGGGGCCCGCACAAGCGGUGGAGCAUGUGGUUUAAUUCGAUGCAACGCGAAGAACCUUACCUGGUCUUGACAUCCACGGAAGUUUUCAGAGAUGAGAAUGUGCCUUCGGGAACCGUGAGACAGGUGCUGCAUGGCUGUCGUCAGCUCGUGUUGUGAAAUGUUGGGUUAAGUCCCGCAACGAGCGCAACCCUUAUCCUUUGUUGCCAGCGGUCCGGCCGGGAACUCAAAGGAGACUGCCAGUGAUAAACUGGAGGAAGGUGGGGAUGACGUCAAGUCAUCAUGGCCCUUACGACCAGGGCUACACACGUGCUACAAUGGCGCAUACAAAGAGAAGCGACCUCGCGAGAGCAAGCGGACCUCAUAAAGUGCGUCGUAGUCCGGAUUGGAGUCUGCAACUCGACUCCAUGAAGUCGGAAUCGCUAGUAAUCGUGGAUCAGAAUGCCACGGUGAAUACGUUCCCGGGCCUUGUACACACCGCCCGUCACACCAUGGGAGUGGGUUGCAAAAGAAGUAGGUAGCUUAACCUUCGGGAGGGCGCUUACCACUUUGUGAUUCAUGACUGGGGUGAAGUCGUAACAAGGUAACCGUAGGGGAACCUGCGGUUGGAUCACCU